GCUACCUGCUCAGGAAGGAAGUGCGAUGGUUCAUUUUAGGUGUCAACUUGACUGAAUUCAGGAAUACCUAGCAACUUAGUAAAGCAUGAUUUUGGGGUGUGUUUGUGGGGGUGUUAUCAGAGGAGAUUAGAUAUGAGUCUGAAGGAUUAGAUGGAGAAGAUCUGCCCUCAAUGUUGGCAUGAACCAUCCAAUCUACUGGGGGCUGGGAGAAAACAAAAAUAGAGAAAAAGUGAGUCUGUUAAUUUUGCUGCUGGGGCUGGGAUAACUUCUUCCUCUCCUAUUCUAGGACAAUAACUCCGGGCUCCCCAGCCUUUGGACUCCAGUGCUUAACAAGAAGGCCCCUUCAGGAUUCUCAGACCUUUGGUUUUGGACUGAGAAAUACACCAUUGGCUUUCCUGGUUCUGAGGCUUUUGGUCUUGGACUGAGCCACGCCGUCAGCAUCCCAGGGUUUGCAGCUUGCAGAUCGCCUGUCAUGGGACUUCUCAGCCUCCGUAAUCACGUGUUGCCGUAAGUCUACUGAGCUCUCUGGGUGUCUAACCUUGCCUUCUUGUCAUCAGCUAUUAAAACUACUAAAACAGAAGAAUGCUUAACCACUACAGCUGUUAAAACAUUAGUACGUGCUUUGAUGCUGGAAGAAGACUUUUCAUGCUAUUCUUAGAGACAGGGUCUCACUCUGUCACCCAGGC
rnacentral:lncRNA from 1 species